rnacentral:lncRNA from 1 species
GGAAUCAGUAGAUUGGAUUGUUGUUCAUCACAUAAUCCAUCUACUGAAAACUCCAUAGGAAGAAUUUAUUGAUGGUGGACUUGGCCAGGAGACUUACCCUGGAAUGGAAGGUGGGGAGAUAACAGUGUAUCAGUUCUAAGCCUUGCCCUUAGAGGAACCAUGUAUUUCUGUCCUCAGGAACAUCUGACUUCUGCCAUAAGAAGAUUAUAUACCUAAUUAGAAGCCUGUUGGCAUCUGACUGAAUUCACAUAGUGGUGAGCCAUUCCAGUCGAUCUGCAGAUAGGCAGGUUUAUGAAUGAGACAUAACUACCGUUGUGUGCCACUGUAAUAUUUGGGGUUGUCUGUUACACAGUAAUAACUAACAGUUACACAAGUGAAUUUUAUUGUUUAAGUGUUUAAGAAAUUUAUUAAAUUAUUGGAAAUAAAGCUUAUGUUUAGGCUAAACUGUUUUAUUAUUUAGUAAAAAGUGGUGACUGAAAAACUGAAGUGUAUACUUCAAUAUUGAAUUAUGUGUAUGCUGUUAUACUUGAUUUCUUAAAAUUCAGAAAUUUCAAAAAUGUUUAAGCAUAGGUGUAAGAAGGUAGCUUUCCAAAGUGAUUAUCUGAAAGGGGAUAGUAUGUAUCUGUAUAUGUAUGUCUAGAGAUGACUGAUUGAUCAAAAAGCAGACCCAGUAUAUACAAACUCAUGAUUAUAUUUUCUUAUCUUUAUUAUCUGCUGUUUAUAUGUCUUUUGAUUAUAGCUUCAUCUCUUUUGUUGGCUUCAUACUGAUUUUCAUUUUAAUAGCCCCUGCCAGAAACUACUGUUUUUGUAUUUUUCUGAAUGGUGUUUCUCUCCCUUUCACAUGAAAAUGUCAUCUGCAUGUGUGAACAUUUGCUAUCUCCACUUCUCUCUGAUGUCAAGGAUUUUUGUUAUUAUGUUGGAAGAAAAGGCCUCCAUUUUCCAUUUGUGUUCAGAGACAUCUUUGAAUGUGAGCAGAAUGUGAAGCUAGCCUGAUUUUAAAAGGUCAUGCACAAGAGUAGGAAAACUUACCAAGCAGAGAAGCAAAAGUUCCAUAAUUGCUAAAAUAAUGAGGAAGUCUUCAGAGUGCUACAAUGGGAAAGGAAGCUAGACAUUCUAAACCCUCAUCCAAGUAUGGGGAAAUUGUGUCUGCCCUGGAUCAGCAGGUAGGGACGGGUCUUGUGAAAACAAAGAGCACAGAAUACAAGAAGUGAGAUAGGAAAACAACUCUUUCCAGAUGCAGACUCCUGAAUAAGAAUUUGGGAACUAGCAGUUUAUUCGAGGGGAACUUCAGAAGGUCCUGGUAGAGUCCCCAAGUGAGGUCCCCAGGUGUGCAGCAUGGGCAUCACCUGGAAGCUUGUUGGAGAUGCAGAAGCUGGAGUUUUUCCUCUGGCUUGAAUCCUCCACUGAUUAAGGGUUGUUCUCAGACACUUAAAGUCCCAGGACUUCUGCUGACUGCUGGGCAAGAUCUAGCUCUCAGAUGGCACUUCCCCUUGGCAGGGCAGGAGGAUACUGUCAGCUUGCACUUGGGCAUGCAGUGGAGAUUUGUCAAAGCCCUGCGGACAGGCAUGGAGAGCUGAAUAUUCACCCUGCCCUGAACUGAGUGGCAGCUGGGAGCCUUUUCGUUGUAGGAGACAAAUCCCAGGCAGAGAGUUUGGUCGCUCAGGGUAUUUCAUACAGUGAUUAGCUUUAUUAACAAUCAGACUGUCUCCACCUUUGAUAUGAAAAGUACCAGGUCAAUGUUUUCAAAUACAAUUUCAUAAGAAUAUGAUUCAAAGUUAUAGAGAGCUCCUGAGUAAAAAUUGCAGAACUUGUUUUCUUAUGUUUGUGCUGCCAAAUUCUUGAUUAGAAUGUCUCCUACUCUUCUCUACCCUGGACGCUGCUCAAGGGAUGAUGACUCUGACCUUGGAGCAUGUGGGUGCCCUGCUUGCACUGUUUCAUUUAGCACCUGGAUCCUCACGCUGACCUUUCUCCCAUUUGUCUCUGGACAUUCAGACUCACCUAAUGUGUGCGGAGUGUAAUACUUUGUUUUGUUUGAACAAAAGCCAUGUGUAACAGAGUUUAAUUUUCUUUUUAUCUCCUCAGAUUUGCAUGAUCCUUGAUCAAUGCUCAGGGGAGUCCCCCUGACUGCCACCACUACUGCCAUCAUUGAUUGUUUUCAAAUACUGUAUCCCAUUUUGUCAUGACAUAUAGUUCUUUCAUGUACUGCUGAUUUCUACUUCCUAAUAUUUUGUUGAAGAUUUUGACAUCAACAUUUUUGAGAUAUAUUGGUCUGUAGAUGUUCCCCAUCCCUCCCUGCCUCUCUCCCUCCCCCUCUCCCUAUCUCUCUCUCUCUCCCUCACCCUUUCCUUCCCUCCCUCCUUUGAACUGUCUUUGUAUGGUUUUUGUGUCAGGUUCAUAAAAUGAGCUGGGAAGUGCUCCCCUCAGUAUUCUGGAGGAGAUUGUGUAGAUUUGAUAUCCUUUAAACAACUAUCUGAACCCUGGAGAUUUCAUUUUUGGAAAUUUUAAAAUUAUGGAAUCAUUUUUUUAAAAAAAUACUUAUUGGACUACUCAAAUUAUCUAGUUCAAUCUGGGGUGAUUCGUGGUCAUGUCUGGUUUGGCCUGCUUUAUAUUGAGAAGGUGAUUUGCUAUAGGCAGAGCUGAGCUCAAGUCUGACUUGGUGCCACUCUCCCACUUGGCAGAGCAGUCUCAUCUCAACUUGGUCCUGACAGCUCUCACUUCCUGCCCCUGAUCUCUCUGGUCUCCAGACCACAGGUUUUCUUGGUUUCUAAACUGGUUUUCAAGAUUCUCCAGCUAUAACCCAUAGUGAGUCAUAAGCUCUGAGGGCAAGAACAAUAGCCUAUUUUACAAAACAGCCACCUGACUUGUUCAUUAGUGCUUAGGAACUGCUGUUAUAGAAUGUCUUUCAUCAGAAGGAUAAAGCAUACCUUGCAUUUUUCCCCCAAAUGCCUUCAGAUUAACAGGGGCCAUUUAAGGACAGUGAUGGGAGAGAAAAAGCCAGAGUCUUGGGUCUGUGGAAGUGUGAUUGUGUCUUAUUUAUCAGGCUUCUCAAGUGACAUUCUGUCCCUGACCAUCCACAGGCUUAAGGUCAGUCUUGAUUUUUCUUUUCUUUUUUUUUUUUUGAUGUGUGUGCGUGUGUGUUUAAACAACCACCAUCAGAGAAACCUGGAAAGUGCUGUACAGAGAGCUUAUUUGUGAAGCAUUUGAAAGUAAAUAGCCAAACAGAUGACCCAUUGCCCACAAAUACUUCAACAGGACAUUCUCUUACUUAGCUGUAAUACAUUAUCAAAAUGAGGACGUUAACAUUAAUACAUUAUUGCCAACUAAUUCUCCAAACCCACUCAUGUUUCAAGAUUUGUCCCAAUGAUGUCUUAUGUUACAUUCAGUGUUCCCUCCUUAGUCACCCUCAGUCUAGAAUGAUUCUGAAGCCUUCCCUUGACUUUCAUGACCUUGACACUUGUUAAGUUUACAGACCAGUUAUUCUGUAAAAUAAUCUCAGUUUGGGUUGGUUGAUGUCUCCCCAUAGCCACAUUGGGGUCAUGCAUCUUCGGCAGGGACAUGAAUAAGAUCUGUCACAUUUUUCCUAGUGCACCUUAUAGGUGGUGCUUGAUAGCCAUCUGUCUCGUUAUUGAUGUUGUUCAUUUUGGUCAUUGUAUUAAGUGAUGUUUUCCAGGCUUCUUUUCUGUAAAUUUUCCCUUUGGUAAUUAAUAAAUAUUUUGUG